CGCCAAAAACCUAGCUUUAUUUUCUCUUAUGCACUACUGUAAUUUUACUAUAAAAAUAAAACAUUUUUAAUUAUUUAGUAGAAGUGAUCAAAAAAUAUUUCUAAAGCUAUAAAAAUAGUACCGCAAGGGAAAGGUGAAAUAACAAUGAAAUAAUUUUUAAGCACAAAAAAGCAGAGCUUAAAUCUCGUACCUUUUGCAUCAUGGUUUAAUUAGUCUAACCAAGCAAAAUGAAUUUUUAGUUUGACCCCCCGAAACUAAGCGAGCUACUUUGAAACAGCCCUAAGAGCCAACCCAUCUCUGUUGCAAAAGAGUGGGAAGAUUUUUAAGUAGAGGUGAUAAACCUACCGAGCUUAGAGAUAGCUGGUUAUUCAGGAAAAGGAUUUUAGUCCUACCUUAAGUUUCUUAUUAACUUUGAUUAAUUCCACAAACUUAAGAGUUAUUCAAAUAAGGUACAGCCUAUUUGAAAAAGGAUACAACCUA
rnacentral:rRNA from 1 species